GAUGAAGAACGCAGCGAAAUGCGAUAAGUAAUGUGAAUUGCAGAAUUCAGUGAAUCAUCGAAUCUUUGAACGCACAUUGCGCCCGCCAGUAUUCUGGCGGGCAUGCCUGUUCGAGCGUCAUUACAACCCUCAGGCCCCCGGGCCUGGCGUUGGGGAUCGGCGGAGCCCCCCGUGGGCACACGCCGUCCCCCAAAUGCAGUGGCGGUCCCGCCGCAGCUUCCAUCGCGUAGUAGCUAACACCUCGCAACUGGAGAGCGGCGCGGCCACGCCGUAAAACACCCAACUUCUGAAUGUUGACCUCGAAUCAGGUAGGAAUACCCGCUGAACUUAAGCAUAUCAAUAAGCGGAGGA
rnacentral:misc_RNA from 1 species